AUUAGAAGCUGAAACAGAUUUAGGAACUUAACCUAACACUAAACACUUAUCGUGAAAGCCCCCCACACCAUUUCAUCUUCUCUGCCGUCGUAGCGCUGCGUCCUCUCCACCCUCGUCGUCAACGAACCCUUGUGCGUGCCUUCUUCACAAACCUUCCUUGUGCUGCGAUUGUGGAGCGAAACGGGGACACGUGAAGCCCUCCUGCUCUCAACUUCGUGAAGCCCUCCUCCCCACCCUCGUCGUUGACGACCGGGGACACGUGUUCCGUCCUCUCCACCUUCGCCGCCGACAAACCCUUGCGCUAUGCUCUCAGACCCUUGCCCUAACGUUGCUGGUGCCUUCGGUGAAACCUUAAGCUAGGAUCUCAACACCCACCCCUACACAAAUCUGUUGCUUCACGAAGAACACCACCGCGGCGACAACAUCAGUAACCACGAUGGAGUCCUCUAAAGUUGCAAGCAGAGCAGGCCAUAAUGUCUCUAACAAGAGCUUGACGAAGAAGCUGACUUGAAGCAACUGCUAUCAACAAUUUCAGUUCAGGUUGAGUCUCACAUGCAUGCUGCAGUGCAACAACUUCUAGUAAAUCCAAAGUAGAAAUAGUACCCGUUUCUACCAAGGGAAUUCUAGCCAAGUUAGUCACAGUGGUACAGUAGAGCUCCUUAUGAAGAGAAGAGUGGUUGUGCAAAGGGGGCUUCCUCUUCUUGGAAUCUUCUACCCAUGUUCCUCAACAUGAAGAGAAUUGAUGCUCAUGACUGAAGGAGGAGUCUCAACUUCAACCACUAAUUCAUGUGGUGAAAGGGAUAUGUACUAAGACUCAAUACUGAGAUACUUCAAGCUGCUAGGCCUCAAGUAUAUUGAUUACUCCAUUGAUUAUAGAUUAAGGUGUUCAUGAAAAUCUAAUGUAAUUCUUGAAUUCAAUUGAUAUGCUCUGGUCUCCUAGAUUUGUCAUUUUCCUUUAUUCAGAGAUACGCUGGCCUUGUAUUGAAACUAGAUAUUAUAUAUUAUAUUUUUUCCCAGUACUUUCACAA